UUCCAAAGUGUUGAGUUCAGUUCACAGAGGCUUCCCUGUUCUAUUACUUAAACUUUGGGAAAUUGAAAUGGGACAGGGUAAGUGUUUGGAUAGAAAAGUACUGUUCUAUUCAUUUAUGUCCUGGCAUGCACAA
rnacentral:snoRNA from 1 species